GGCCCUGUUGCCCAAUCGAUAAGGGGUCGGUCUCCUAAACCGAAGAUUCAAGGUUCGAGUCCUUGCUGGGACG
rnacentral:tRNA from 1 species